AUGGGUGGAUUGAAGGAGACUAGCAGCGGUGGGAACCGAGACGUCAGCAAAAGCCAUGGAAAGAAAAAAUUCAAGAUGCCAAGAAAAAGUUUUAGACUUUGCCGCAGCGACGAGUAUGGUACCUUCCCAUUUGUCAACCGGUGCCUUCAGCUCAGGACCACUUCGUUGUACCGUGAAUCGUACAAACGCAUCCUUUUUAGAUCAGCGCUCAAGGACUACAAUGAACGCGUGAGGGACGGCAUGCUUACUUGGGAAGCUUACGAAAAGCAUCGUCUCGCCAUCGAUAGCUCAAUGCAAACUAUCAGACAUAGUAUCCAAAGAUACAAAGAGCGCCGCUUGCAGGGUGGGCUAUUUUACUUGGCAAAUAAAGGAAGCGUUAAGGAAACAUCGACAAGAAAACAAAAGGAGGAAACAGCUACUGAAUGCUUUCAACAAUUCAAAGAAAUCAAGCAUCUUUGA
rnacentral:rRNA from 1 species